rnacentral:rRNA from 1 species
GAAUUCGCCCUUUAGAGUUUGAUUCUGGGUUCAGGACGAACGCUGGCGGCGUGCCUAACACAUGCAAGUCGAACGGAACUGCAAUGAACAAGACUUCGGUCAAGUGAGUUGUACGUUUAGUGGCGGACGGGUGAGUAACGCGUGAGCAAUCUGCCUUUCAGAGGGGGAUAACAUUCUGAAAAGAAUGCUAAUACCGCAUAAAGUGCACAGUUGGCAUCGACAGUGCACCAAAGGAGUAAUCCGCUGAAAGAUGAGCUCGCGUCCGAUUAGAUAGUUGGCGGGGUAACGGCCCACCAAGUCGACGAUCAGUAGCCGGUCUGAGAGGAUGAACGGCCACAUUGGGACUGAGAUACGGCCCAGACUCCUACGGGAGGCAGCAGUGGGGAAUAUUGGGCAAUGGGGGAAACCCUGACCCAGCAACGCCGCGUGAAGGAAGAAGGCCCUCGGGUUGUAAACUUCUUUUACCAGGGACGAAGGACGUGACGGUACCUGGAGAAAAAGCAACGGCUAACUACGUGCCAGCAGCCGCGGUAAUACGUAGGUUGCAAGCGUUGUCCGGAUUUACUGGGUGUAAAGGGCGUGUAGGCGGAGAUGCAAGUUGGGAGUGAAAUCCCGGGGCUCAACCCCGGAACUGCUUUCAAAACUGUAUCCCUUGAGUAUCGGAGAGGCAAGCGGAAUUCCUAGUGUAGCGGUGAAAUGCGUAGAUAUUAGGAGGAACACCAGUGGCGAAGGCGGCUUGCUGGACGACAACUGACGCUGAGGCGCGAAAGCGUGGGGAGCAAACAGGAUUAGAUACCCUGGUAGUCCACGCUGUAAACGAUGAAUACUAGGUGUGGGAGGACUGACCCCUUCCGUGCCGCAGUAACACAAUA